rnacentral:rRNA from 1 species
GACGAACGCUGGCGGCGUGCUUAACACAUGCAAGUCGAACGGAAAGGCCAUGAUCUUGUGGGUUGCUCGAGUGGCGCACGGGUGAGUAACACGUGAGUAUCCUGUACCUGUCUUUGGGAUAACUCCUGGAAACUGGGGCUAAUACCGGAUAGGAGAUCUUGCUCCAUGGUGGUGGUUGGAAAGUUUCGGCGGUUGGGGCUGGACUCGCGGCUUAUCGGCUUGUUAGUGGGGUAGUGGAUUACCAAGGCUUUGAAGGGUAGCCGGCCUGAGCGGUGGACCGGCGACAUUGGGACUGAGAGACGGCGCAGACGCCUACGGGAGGCAGCAGUGGGGAAUAUGGCACAAUGGGCGGGAGCCUGAUGCAGCAACGCCGCGUGCGGGAUGACGUCUUACGGGGGGUAAACCGCUGUCGCCUGUGACGAAGCGUGAGUGACGGUAAUGGGUAAAGAAGCACCGGCUAACUACGUG